rnacentral:rRNA from 1 species
CCGUGAGAGCGGUAGCCCGGAGAUGGGUACUGAGACAAGGACCCAGGCCCUACGGGGCGCAGCAGUCGCGAAAACUCCGCAAUGCACGAAAGUGUGACGGGGCUACCCCGAGUGCCAUCCGCUGAGGAUGGCUUUUCUUUGGUAUAACUAGCCAGGGGAAUAAGGAGAGGGCAAGACUGGUGUCAGCCGCCGCGGUAAUACCAGCUCUCCGAGUGGUAGGGAUGAUUAUUGGGCUUAAAGCGUCCGUAGCCGGCUUAGCAAGUCUCCUGUUAAAUUCAGCGACCUAAUCGUUGAGCCGCGGGAGAUACUACUAGGCUAGGAGGCGGGAGAGGUCGACGGUACUUCUGGGGUAGGGGUGAAAUCCUAUAAUCCCGGGAGGACCACCAGUGGCGAAGGCUGUCGACUAGAACGCGCCCGACGGUGAAGGGCGAA